GUGAAUCAUCAAAUUUUUGAACGCAAAUUGCACUCUCUGGCAUUCCGGAGAGUAUGCCUGUUUGAGGGUCAGUUUAAAUAAAAAUCGAGGUGUUGCUUUUGUGUGACCCAUCGGAAUUGGGGUAUCCUUGAUCUUUUAAAGGUUUAAUUGACCUAAAAUUGAUACCUUGUGCAUCUCAGACGUACAUAAGAAUAUUAUUUUAUCCGUCCGGAGUUGACAACUUUUAUUAGGUAUGACCAUAUUGUUUGUGGCAUCGUAUCUGUACUAUAUACUCUUAUGUUGAC
rnacentral:misc_RNA from 1 species